GGCGAUUUCCGAAUGGGGAAACCCAGUGUGUUUCGACACACUAUCAUUAACUGAAUCCAUAGGUUAAUGAGGCGAACCGGGGGAACUGAAACAUCUAAGUACCCCGAGGAAAAGAAAUCAACCGAGAUUCCCCCAGUAGCGGCGAGCGAACGGGGAGCAGCCCAGAGCCUGAAUCAGUGUGUGUGUUAGUGGAAGCGUCUGGAAAGGCGCGCGAUACAGGGUGACAGCCCCGUACACAAAAAUGCACAUGCUGUGAGCUCGAUGAGUAGGGCGGGACACGUGGUAUCCUGUCUGAAUAUGGGGGGACCAUCCUCCAAGGCUAAAUACUCCUGACUGACCGAUAGUGAACCAGUACCGUGAGGGAAAGGCGAAAAGAACCCCGGCGAGGGGAGUGAAAAAGAACCUGAAACCGUGUACGUACAAGCAGUGGGAGCACGCUUAGGCGUGUGACUGCGUACCUUUUGUAUAAUGGGUCAGCGACUUAUAUUCUGUAGCAAGGUUAACCGAAUAGGGGAGCCGAAGGGAAACCGAGUCUUAACUGGGCGUUAAGUUGCAGGGUAUAGACCCGAAACCCGGUGAUCUAGCCAUGGGCAGGUUGAAGGUUGGGUAACACUAACUGGAGGACCGAACCGACUAAUGUUGAAAAAUUAGCGGAUGACUUGUGGCUGGGGGUGAAAGGCCAAUCAAACCGGGAGAUAGCUGGUUCUCCCCGAAAGCUAUUUAGGUAGCGCCUCGUGAAUUCAUCUCCGGGGGUAGAGCACUGUUUCGGCAAGGGGGUCAUCCCGACUUACCAACCCGAUGCAAACUGCGAAUACCGGAGAAUGUUAUCACGGGAGACACACGGCGGGUGCUAACGUCCGUCGUGAAGAGGGAAACAACCCAGACCGCCAGCUAAGGUCCCAAAGUCAUGGUUAAGUGGGAAACGAUGUGGGAAGGCCCAGACAGCCAGGAUGUUGGCUUAGAAGCAGCCAUCAUUUAAAGAAAGCGUAAUAGCUCACUGGUCGAGUCGGCCUGCGCGGAAGAUGUAACGGGGCUAAACCAUGCAC
rnacentral:rRNA from 1 species